rnacentral:tmRNA from 1 species
GGGGGCGAUUGGAUUCGACAGGGAAGUAGAGGUUGUAUGCUGCGUGCCGAGGCGCCGCUGGCCUCGUAAAAAGCGGCAAGCCAAUAAACGGCAAUAGCAACUACGCUCUCGCUGCCUAAUUAGGCGGCGCAUUCGCCCGGUCUCAUCCGACGUGACCGGAUGCGGGUGUCAAAAUAGUCGGAUUGCUGCUCUCCUGUUGUUCGCGCAGGAGAGGGGACAUUAAGCGAACUGGCUUGAAGGAAUCCUGUCUGCGGGAGUCCUGAUAGCGAGAGACAAAGCGCAGUCUACGCACGUAGACGCUGCAAACGUCUCUUCCUUGGACCCGGGUUCGAUCCCCGGCGCCUCCACCA